rnacentral:rRNA from 1 species
UACGUAGGAUGCAAGCGUUGUCCGGAUUUAUUGGGUUUAAAGGGUGCGUAGGCGGCCUAUUAAGUUAGUGGUGAAAACGUUCGGCUUAACAAGAUACCCGCCAUUGAUACUGAUAGACUUGAGUGCGACAGAGGGUGUUGGAAUGUGUGGUGUAGAGGUGAAAUGCUUAGAUAUCACGCAGAACACAAAUUGCGAAGGCAGAUGCCUAUGUCGUAACUGACGCUGAGGCACGAAAGCGUGGGGAGCAAACAGG